AUGACAGACACGUGUUUUGUGUGCAAGCACAUGGCCUUGUCUUUGGGUCAUGUGCUUGUGUUGUCUCGUUCCCUUGCAACGCCCCCUUGUUAUCCUCGUUUUGUCAUUAUUGCUUUCCCUGUGUCACCUGGUAUGUUAUCAUUAGUCUCCCUAUUUCAAUCCCCUUGUGUUCGCUGUCUGCGGUGGUUCAUUGUUACACAUUGUCUGACCUGUGGAUUGUAUUUCUGUCGUGUGAUAACCAGAGUGAAGAGUCUUUUUGCUUUACUGUGUGUUUUCAGUCUAGUCAGAGUCUUGUUAAGUGUUCAUCUUUUCCCUAGUCGUUGUUUUUCCCCUCGUGGAUUUUGUUUUCCUUUUUUGUCGGUAAUAAACCUUGUGUGUAGUGCAUCCUGUCUGCACUUGAGUUCAUCCCCGCAUCCUCGUGACAGAAUGAACCGCCAAAGAAUGAACCCAGCAGACAGGAUGUCCUCCCAACUCCAGAGACAAUCAGAGUUCCGGGAACAAUGCUGGUUGCCGUCCCCCACCGACAAGAGGAGGGUCGACCUUCCAUUCUCGUCCCAGAGUGAGUGGAUCCUGAGGGAGUAUGCCCGACUCUGGGAGAGUUUCUCCCAGGAGGAGCCGCAGGUUUCCUCCUCGAGGUCCCCACCUUCUGCGAAGCUGCCUGUGAUCUCAGAGGGUCGUGUCUUAGCCGUGGCAACACUGGGGGAUCAGGCUCAUCCCUCUUCGAAUCCCGAGGCAUCUUCCUCACCUAUCAGUCUCUGCAGGAAACGUGGGAGACGGAUCUCGUGGGAGUCUGCCUCGGAGUCCUCAGCAACGGAGUCAACCCUGCCUGAGACUGUCCUUCCACUACCAGUCACGGCUCCUGCUGAACCUCCCCAACCAAUCACAGAUCCGGCUAUUGCCUCUGCUCCGCGGCCAAGGAGAAAGAGGAGGAAGAGGGGUGCUCUCUGUCCUCCGUCCCCAUCUCCCCCUGAGUCCGCGAUGGCUCCCCAACCCGCCACUGUAACCGAGAGCGUUGUUCCUGAGCCUGCCGCUGUAAGCACGGUUUCAGAGGUUGCAAAAGGGAAGGCUGUUCCGAAGACUGCAGGAGAGACUGUUGUUCCUGAAACUACUGCAGUGAGGGAGGUUUCCGAACCAGUAACCGAGAGAGCAGUAUCUGAGUCUGCAGUGGUGAGAGCUGAGGAGAGAGGCGCGGUCGAUUCUGCUGCUAAAUCAGUCUUACAGUCUGUUUCAGCUCGUCAGGAGAUGCCUGUCGUCAUUGCUGGCAAGACCCUGUCGGAAUAUUUGUCACGCCUUGUCCAAAUCCUAGAGGUUCCUGUCAGACCUAUCUUGUCCCCAGACCCUGUCCCUAAAGCCGCAGAGAGCGCUGACCCCAAGCCGGCCACAGAGAGUGCUGCAGAGAGCGCUGACCCCAAGCCGGUUGCAGAGAGCGCUGACCCAGAGUCAGCUUCUAUCGACACCGCUACAGAGGCCGAGAUGCCGAGUGUCGAUUCGGUGUGGGGAAGCAUCGACUCUAGGUCUGCUUCUGUGAGCCCAGCACCUUUUUCCGCUCCACAGUUGCCUGCUGUACCCCCUGUCACAGUACAACCCCGGACUGUUUCUCCCAAGCUCCCUUCCCACUCUACGCCAUCCAGACCUGCCCGGACCCCACGUCAUCAGCCAUCAUCCCGUCAACCUAAGACCUCCGCUCCACCCAUCCACCAUGGACUUCUCCCCACAAACUUUGUUAUCCCGCCUCCUCCCCUUCCUUGUUUGUUAUUUCUGAUAUGUCACCCGAACCCUGUCGUUGUGUAUUCUUGUUUACCUUUAUUGUUAUUUGUCAUGUUUUGUUGGUUUGUGUCUGUGUCACAGUCAGUCAUUUCUCCCGCAUUUGAUGUCCCCUUGAGGAGCGUCUGGAAGCCGCUCCUUAAGGGAGGGGUUCUGUCAUGA
ensembl:lncRNA